rnacentral:rRNA from 1 species
GACGAACGCUGGCGGCGUGCCUAAUACAUGCAAGUCGAACGCAGUGGGGACGGGUGAGUAACACGUGGGUAACCUCCCAUCAGAGGGGAUAACACUUGGAAACAGGUGCUAAACCGAUACUGAUGGAUGGACCCGCGGUGCAUUAGCUAGUUGGUGAGGUAACGGCUCACCAAGGCCACGAUGCAUAGCCGACCUGAGAGGGUGAUCGGCCACACUGGGACUGAGACACGGCCCAGACUCCUACGGGAGGCAGCAGUGGGGAAUUUUGGACAAUGGGCGCAAGCCUGAUCCAGCCAUGCCGCGUGUCUGAAGAAGGCCUUCGGGUUGUAAAGGACUUUUGUCAGGGAAGCGGUACCUGAAGAAUAAGCACCGGCUAACUACGUGCCAGCAGCCGCGGUAAUAC